CCCUUAGAUGUCCUGGGCCGCACGCGCGCUACACUGAGUGUCUGAGAUACGAGUCUGCCUGGUCCGGCAAGGUCUAGGUAAUCGCUAAAAGACACAUCAUGCUUGGGAUAGAUUAUUGCAAAUAUUAAUCUUGAACGAGGAAUUCCUAGUAAGCGCAAGUCAACAGCUUGCGUUGAUUACGUCCCUGCCCUUUGUACACACCGCCCGUCGCUACUACUGAUUGGAUGUUUAAGCGAGGUUCUCGAACUGCUAGCGACUUAGCUUCGGUGAGGUCGCAGUGUGAGAAGUGAACCUAGCUUUGGUGUCUAGAGGAAGUAAAAGUCGUAACA
rnacentral:rRNA from 1 species